GAAAGUAAAGGGGGGGGGAGGAAUAUCUGGGAUUGGAUAAAAAGUAAAAAGAAAGACACAUGCUUCUUGAGAGUUGCUGGGAGGUUCUAGCGGGGAGCGCAGCUACUCCUUACCGUUGACGGAAGACUGGUCCUCUCCUCUGGGGGGAAGGGCGUCCUCUUCCACCCAGCGCAGCUUCGGGAGGGACUCACAUGCAUCGGUGGGGAGGAGGGGGACACCGGCCUAGCCAGCCAGAUCAGCCGAAUCAACUCCGAUCAGUUUCCUGGGGCAGACGUCGCAGCCAGACAGCCCUCCAUCCAACACAUGCGUCUCUUACAUAGGGGGGUACAGGACAGCUAACAGGCAAAGAUUAACAUGGGAACAAUAACAAUGAGGACUUUUGUGGUCUGUGCCCUGGCACCAUUUGUUGUGCCUGAGGGGUCGGGCAAAGGGAAGUCGCCCUGACAGUCCACAGGUGAGCUAUCUUAGAUGAAAAAGACAACAGGCUCAGUAAAAACUGAAGUUGAUCUUUGUCAGAGAAGAUACAGGGACAUGACUGCCCACUAUAAACUGCUUUUCAAUUAAAGGCUCUAAUUUCAGACCAUCCUUUGUGGUUACUUUAGGUUCCUUGAGUGUGCCAGGCUGCCACGCAGGCCUUCCCUGAGUUAGUCAGGUUAGCACGUGGCCCCUUUGCGUCCAGUUUGCAGACCGGCAGAGCUGAAAUGGGGAACCACGGUUCUGAAUGCUGAUUCUCUAUGAAUACCUGUCCUGUCUCCUCGAAAAUACUGUGAAUUCCAAACAAUUCCUGGCAAAGAAAAUUUUUGUUUUAAGAGAUCUGUACAGAGCACAGGGACAGAAGACGAAGCUAUUAGAUGUGUGAAAGCUAUGAACUGAAUUUUUUAUUUGGGAAUGAGUUGGAGAACCAGGUAACAACACCCGACGUCAUCGCUUUCAGAACUGGUGCCCACGGGGAGGGGAGCCAUAGGACCCCAUUCAAGAAGUUCGGACGCGAAAGCAGAACUGCGCCAGGUUCUGGGAUCUGAUCCAUAAAAGAAACUGCUUCCUAAAGGAACGAGCCAUAGGCGUGCUGUGGGUGCCCACUCAGUCAGUAUCCACUCUUUCCUGCUUCUCUGAAAAGAAUCCCACUUUUAAAGAAAAUCAAUACUUGAAUGUCUCCAUUGGUAUCUACGCUUUUCUCUGUCUCCAGGUGGGUUUCAAGCCUCCUGCCACUCUGCGGGUUCCUUUUGCAGAUAGCACCCUGCCGCUGGCGUCCCGCUUAGGGGCGAGGAAAGGGCAUGUGGAGGCCAGAGCUUCUCCCAAGCUUCUUCCCUCCUCUCCAGUCAAGCCGCAGCUCAGAAUCCAGAACUCUUGCCCGGGGACAAGGCCUGGCUCCAAUCCCAUCAAUAGCCGCAUUAAAAUACUGACCUUCAAAUCUGUCAUCUGUGGACAGGCCACUGACUCUUGGGACCAAGGAGUCCCCACCCUGGCCCCCACCCUUUCAGGUUCCCAGUUUCCUCCUCCCUCAAACUCCUAAGUCUAGGGCCUCGCCUUCCCCUCCUCCCUCAGACCCAGAAGUCUAGGCCCCUCGGUACCCCUCCUACAGGUCCUCAAUCCCCUCCUCUCUUGGGCGCCCAGCCUCCUCAGGACCAAGGGGCCAGGACUCUCAAGUCUCCAUCCCUCCCUAGGACCCAGGUCAUGCAGCAAACAGCCCGGGUUCGUGCAGCCAGAAACCCCCCUGACUUCUCUCCCGCAGUUACUCGCUCUCAACUACCUCCAGCGUUGUUUUUCCCAGAGGCGGGUCUGACACAGGAGCCCGCCACCGGAGUCCAGCUGUGAUAAGCUACUCAUGGCGUCAGUCACUGUUAACCAGCCAAUAGACACCCGCCUCCUACUAGCCUGGGCCACUCAGGGCGCGUACCUCAGUAGGCGGGCCCCACGGCCUAAGUCGGAGAGACAUAGGCUCUCAAAGACGCCAGUCCCACCCGCCUGCCAAUAGGGGGAGCGCCUGGGGGCGUGGGCAUCCUGGUGGUGAGGACUCGGGCUCUCUGGGUCCAGCGGGUAGGCCCUUUCGGGCGCGGCCGCGUGGGGGUUCUGGGCUUAGUAGUACCUCCGGCGGGAAGCGGUGGGCUUGGCGAGGCUUGGAGCGGAGCGGGGAGUUUAGGUGGCCACCGCCCAUUUUGCUUUGUUGGAGGAACUGAGUCGGAAUGCAGAGUCUCAGAUAUUCAUCCGUCCGUUCCAUUCCUCACACCCCACAUCUGAUUCUUGUCUGUGUCUAGCUGCCCUGCCCCCGGUCCCUUCAGUCCUUCCUACCCAUUGGGCACAUCCUUGCGCUGCAUUGUGCCCGCUGGGGCUCAUGCCCUCCCGGUGAUUUCCCUGUUGUCCUCGUUAUAGGUUUCAUGACUAACGGCCUUCAGUCUCCAGUAAACGCCUCUCCCAGCUCAGAUGACCGCCCACACCUGGCCCUACGUGCACCUGGUCCGACCAGAAGGUCCCGCUCUCCCUACCCUACCCUACUCAGCUGAUGCCAUUUUGGUCUCGGCCCUUCUGCUAGCAGAUGUAAUAAAGUCAUAAUUCUUUACCC